CUCUCUUUGUCUCCUGUUGUUUUUCAGUUCCUAGAAGCUUUAAUUGAAUGAAAGUUCCUAGUAGAUCUGUACCUAUGAAGCUACGUGGCCACCAGAAGACACAGCUAGUCUGCCAUGUAAAAAAGGAAAGGUGGCGUGUGCCCUGAAGGCGCAGGGGUGAGAGGCAGGGAAAUGGAGACCCCAACAGCCAGCAUCAGUGGCCCUCAUCACAGCCCUCCAGGAGAUAUCAAAGGAGACAACGCCAUUAUUGACGAGAUCACUCCCAAGCGGAUUGGAGGGGAGAAAUGGUGGUGCAGCAGGAGAGCAGGAACCUAACCAUUGCCAUCCUAAGGCCCUCCAUUGUGCGGAGCAACGUCGCACCAGCUUUUCCUGGGUUGGGUUGAUAAUCUAAAUGGAUGUAGCUGACUCAUUAUUGCGGUAUGUAUAGGGAUGAGGAAGUAACUGUAAUGUAGUGGAGGAAUAGUAAGAAAAUUCUUAGUGCUGGCUUAGCUUCAUUGAUCCAGGGCGGAUCACGAGGUCAGGAGAUGGAGAACAUCCUGGCUAACAGGUGAAACCCCAUCUCUACUAAAAGUACAAAAACCAAUUAGCCGGGUGCGGUGGCGGGCGCCUGUAGUCCCAGCUACUCCGGAGGCUGAGGCAGGAGAAUGGCGUGAACCCAGGAGAUGGAGCUUGCAGUGAGCCGAGAUCGCGCCACCGCACUCUAGCCUGGGCAACCCAAGGAGACUCCAUCUCAAAAGAACAACAACAACAAAAACCAGCUGAGCAGCGCGGGCCAUGUGGCAGUGGGUCCAGCUCCAGGGCGCCGUAGGGCAGCGGUGUGCAGUGUUCGGGUAAUAGGACGCAGACGGCGGGGUCGCCGGGGGCUUCGGGGUGGCCUCGGCCCCAGGCCAUCCAGCCCUGUGGACCGAAUGGAGUCCCGCACGCUGUUGAGGUAGUUGUGGGUUCCCCUGGCCUCGGGCUGGGCGCGGGGUCAGCGCACCUGCAGGCGGCGCUUGCGGUACGGGCUGGUGAAAGUGGAGAUGGACGGCAGGAUGGAUUCACUUGGCCACAUGGCGCGAAGCUGGGAAGACGGACACCGGUGAGUGGCUGCCCGGGAGGGCUGGUCGGGGCGCGGACAGGCGGGCAUGGUUCUGCCAAGGAUUUUGCUUUAUUUAUCGCAAGAUGGGGUAUUUCCUCCUUUCUUCAGUUUAUAAUUGCAUGAAUUAGUGCAGUGAAUUGAGGAUGCAGUAAUUUACUCUUUUGUACAAUGAAUGGGAAAUCAGUGAUCUAAAUGAGUUUAAAUCUUAUUAGGGAUUCAGACUGCUCUUCAGACUCUGUCUCUAUUCCUACCAGAGCUGGGUUCAACAUGAAUUCAAAUAGAAAUAUGAGACAAUGAAUUAUGGUAGUGACAAAGACCUUUUUUCUAAGCCAAAAAAGUUUUUGUCAUUAAUUGUGGAAUUUCACAAAUUAAUUUUUGUUCAAAUAAAACUUUCUUAAACUUUUAGUGCUUACUAUUGCUUGUAGGUUAGUAAACCCUAGCAGAAAACAAAAUCAUUAAGGAAAUGGAAAACAAACAUUAAUGGGGAAUUUGUGUAACCUUAAUUCUUAACGUGUCUUAUGAGUUAAUUUUUUAAAUGUGAAGGUUUAUUCUUGGUGUUUGGUAAUUAACUAAGUUUAUUAAUAUCUCAAAAAUAUGAGGAAUUUUAUUCCCUAAAGGAACGUGAGGAACACGAGUAGUUCAAGAAAAUGCUGAAGAUGCGCUUGGCUGGGAAGCUAGGAUAGGCUGACGAAGUCAGACUUAGUGUGGGAACCUGUUAAGCAGUGGAUCGAUGUUAGCUGUUUUCACUUAUUGCACUAGUAUAAUCAGUUUGAUGAUACAUACUUUAGCCCCAGCUGUUACUUAAGACCUGGUUUCACAUUUUAUGUUCUUUUUCCUGUGCAGGCUGGGAAAGGGUUUCUUCUGUCCAUAAAAGCUACUCCAAUGGCUGUGGGAGACUUAAUUCCAAUUCCAGGUGAUACAGCCGUCAAUCUCCCACUAGCUGUAGGAUGGUGUGUGUGCUGCAGUUCACAGAGACCUAAGUCAGUGUUAGUCUACCACUGUACAUCUGGUAACCUCAAUCCCUGCAACCGGGGCAAAAUGGGUUUCCAGGUCUUGGCAACCUUUGAAAUUCCAAUUCCAUUUGAGAGAGCUUUGACGAGGCCAUAUGCUGAUUUCACCACCAGCAACUUCAGAACCCAGUACUGGAAUGCCAUCAGCCAGCAGGCCCCUGCCAUCAUCUAUGACUUCUAUCUGUGGCUCACUGGAAGGAAACCCAGCUACCGAAGGAAGAUACCCUCAUCAACCCAAUUUUACAAAUGGAGAAAUAGAAGUUAAGGGAAGAAUCUGAAGUAGUCUCAAAGGCAGUGACAGGAAGGAUGUGGAGGCAAGGCCAAGAUGGCUCAAAGAGCAACCAGCCACCUCUGCAGCCUGCCACCUCCUGCUGGCAAGAUUUGUUUUUGCAUCCUGUGAAGAGCCAAGGAGGCACCAGGGCAUAAGUCUACUCACUUAUAUCUGUCUGGAACAUAACGCUUGUUUGUUUUUACAACAAAUAAAAUUGAUCUUGAAUAAAAACUGA
rnacentral:lncRNA from 1 species